GGAGGGAUCAUUAUAGGAAAAACAAACCUUACCCAAGUUGUAGGGAGGAGGGGGGGGUGUUUUCUCUCUCCUCCCUACUUCUUCAAACAAACGAUCACAACUAUCUGACUUAAGUGGGGGGAAAGCAAGUAAGCAAAGCAAGCUAUAUGUCCUGUGUGAAGGAUAUAUAGCAAUGUCUCUUCACACUUGGCUUGGCUUGGCUUGGCUUGACUUGACUUGACUUGAAACAAAAGUGUUUGCCUGAUAUUGCAACAAACCUGCCAUUGAUUCUUUUGUUGGUUGGGUUGGUUGAGGGGAAAAAUUGUAUAUAUACAACUUUCAACAACGGAUCUCUUGGCUCUCACAUCGAUGAAGAACAUAGCAAAGUGUGAAAAUUAAUGUGAAUUGCAGAAUUCAGUGAAUCAUUGAGUUUUUGAACGCAUCUUGCACUUCUUGGUUAUUCCAGGGAGUAUGCUUGGUUGAGCAAUGUGAACACAUCUCAUCAAAACCUUCGUUUUCCUCUUUUUUCUUUCUCUCUCUCUCUCUCUCGAGGGGGAGAAAAGGGAUAUAGAAGAAACGAGCUUUUAUUAGGGGUUUUGGAAUUGAGUGGAUUACCUUGUCUCUCUCUCAAAAGAAGACAAGGUUCACUUGAAAUGAAGAGAAAGUUUAAAGAACAACAGAGGGGCGUUUGGGUUGGUUGGUUGAUCAAACAGACAGACAAGUAGAGAGACCUGGUUGAUUUGGUUGAGAGGGAAAAGAGGCAGCUUGCUCUAACAACAAUGACUUGAUGAAGAUGAUAAGGCCCUUGAUGGCUUUUUGGUGUGGGUUGGGUUGGAUUUUGGGAGGGGAGGAAAAGUCUUGUUUAGAGCUGUUCUCUUGCUUCAUUUUUUUAUUGCCUGCCUGCCUUCUGAUCAAAACUAGCAAACUAUAUAAACAAGCGCUACGCAAAACCUUGGUUGCUUCUCUUUCUUACAACUAGGAAAAGAAAGGGGGGGAGGAGAAACUAGAGAGAACUGAUUCUCUCUAAUGAGCCCUCUCUCUCUCUCUCUCUAUAUCAUUCUCAACUCAAGCAAGACUACCCGCUGAAUUUAAGCAUAUAAAUAAGCGGAGGAAAAGAAACUAACAAGGAUUCCCUUAGUAACGGCGAGCGAAGCGGGAAAAGCUCAAUUUUGAAAUCUACCAAGAGUCACAUUCUUGGUCGAAUUGUAGUUUCGAGAAAGAGUGGUUGAGAGAAGCCAGUUGGAUGCAAGUUCUUUGGAAUGUGACAUCAGAGAGGGUGACAAUCCCGUCCACCAUUCUACUGCUUGCUUCUCACAAAAAGGCCCUCUUUUCAAAGAGUCGAGUUGUUUGGGAUUGCAGCUCAAAAUGGGUGGUAAAUUUCAUCUAAAGCUAAAUAUGGGUGAGAGACCGAUAGCGAACAAGUACCGUGAGGGAAAGAUGAAAAGCACUCUGAAGAGAGAGUAAAAUAGUACGUGAAAUUGUUGAAAGGGAAACGCUUGAAACCAGUCAAGGUUUAUUAGAAGUCAGGAGAGGUGUAACUUGGCAGAAUCAGCAGAGAGAUUGUGGCUUAGCUGUGACUCCUCUGCUGGUUUUCGCCAUGGUUGCCCUCUCUGUACGUUUCUAAUAAACAAGUCAGCAUCAGUUUGGCUGUUGGAGAGAAAGGUAACAGGACUUGGUCGGGUCUUCAGUGGACUUUAUGUCCCCCUGAAGGCUUGGAGCCUGCUUAUCUCAUGGAUAUAUCCAAUGCUGGACUGAGGAUCGCAGUACGGGGCAUUGACUUGGAACUAGGUGCAUCUUGGGUUACUAUCCUUGGUAAACAGCUUGCUGAUUGCCAAUGGAUACGUAUCCGAGUCUCACCAAAUCCAAGCUGGCCUCCGACUUUGGAUGUUGACGAAAUGGUUUUAAACGACCCGUCUUGAAACACGGACCAAGGAGUCUAACAUGGAUGCAAGUAUUUGGGUGAUUGGAAACCCAUAUGCGCAAUGAAAGUGAACUUUUGAUGGGUAGGAAACUCUAGGGGGGGGAUCUCCCUCUCUAGGGUAGCACUAUCGACCAAUGUUGACUAGCUUCGGCUUGAUAGACUUGAGUAAGAGCAUGCAUGCUGGGACCCGAAAGAUGGUGAACUAUGCCUGAAUAGGGUGAAGUCAGACGAAAGUCUGAUGGAAGCUCGUAGCGAUUCUGACGUGCAAAUCGAUCGUCAAAUUUGGGUAUAGGGGCGAAAGACUAAUCGAACCAUCUAGUAGCUGGUUCCUGC
rnacentral:misc_RNA from 1 species